rnacentral:lncRNA from 1 species
AUGUCAAUUUGGCCCAAAGAAAGCAAGCACUCUUGUCCACUACAGGGAGGAGUGCUGUUGGCUCAACCACAGGUCUCCAUUCUAGCUCUGGCAGCUCCAGACAGUCCCUCAGUUCACACCCUUCUGGAUGAGAAUCAGAAAGAAGAAAUUAAUUUGACAACUCAUAGAGUUUCAUCCUGGGAGGGAGUGAGUAGUGUGGUGCUGCACUCUAUGGGCUGCUGCAGAAACACACAGGAUGCAUUUUGUCUAUCUGCCAAGAAAGUCUUCCCGAGGAAAUAUCUUCAAUCAAUUCUCUGGAAUAAUCUGGCAGCCUACUCAACACAGAUUCUUUCAACAGAAGGAUGUCACAAGAAGGUGGCCAUCUGUAAGCCUAAAAGAGGGCCCUCACAAGAACCCAAGCAGCUGGCACUUUGAUCUUGGACUUCCCAGCUUCCAAACUGUGAGAAAUAAAUGUUUGUUGUUUAAGUCAUCCAGUCUAUGGUAUAUUAUUAUGGUAGCCCCAAUUGACUAUGACAAAGGGGUUUAAGUGAAGAAGAAGUGGAAGCGAGCAGAAGAAAACGAUAGGAAAAGCAAGUUGGUGUUCAAAAACCAACCUGGAUUUGUUCAAGUGGAAAAAUCCAGGCAAUCAUAGACAAAUGCCCUAAUUUGGAGUUUGGGUGUGUAAUGCAAUGGCUCGGAUAUAAAAAGGAAAACACACAUGGUAUGUUUCCCACAUUGGCUUAUCUGGUUUCCCAUAAAUAAAAAAGAGUUUUACAAGCCAGCAUUUGCUCUUCAUUAGAACACAAAAUGAGACAAACAAUGGUUCUGUAUGACUAGAUUGCCUGCAGUUGAAAGCUUGAAUGCCAGAGGUUCUUUUGGGACCUGGGAUUAAUGUGUGGCACUUUAAUCUUCUAGGACUUCAUCAAAUCAGGGAAAUGUGCAAAUAGGAAAGAAAAUAUUUAAAUGUUAAACAAGGCAUCAAUUCAUUUAAUUUAUUUGGAUACAUACUGACAAUAUGGUAUUUAAAUAUUAUCAUUGGUAUAUACAUUUGAAUUGGCUUUUCCCCCCCUCCAGUUGGGAGCAGUUUUGCUCAUAUAGUCUUAUUCUUUUCUCAGAUUUCACGUGAUCAAGAGUAUGCUACUGCUGGUUAGAUGGGACUGUGAUGGAUGAUUUUAACAAAAUUUGGUCGAAAUGACACUCAUGUCCUUGACCUUGGUCUUAUUACCACCAUUCUCUACUAAAGUCAUUAUAAAUUACUCUUAAAUGCUAAUUUUCUCGCAGAUCCAAAAUUUCCUAGACUAUAGAAAAGUACUGAAAAAAAAGUCUUAGAACUGUGCUUGCGGCUGGGCACAGUGGCUCAUGCCUAUAAUCCCAGCAUUUUGGGAGGCCGAGGCAGGUGGAUCACGAAGUCAUUGAGAGAGAUUGAGACCAUGGUGAAACCCCGUUUCUACUAAAAUACACAAAAAUUAGCUGGGCACGGUGGCAUGUGCCUAUGGUCCCAGCAGCUUGGGAGGCUGAGGCAGGAGAAUUGCUUGAAUCCUGGAGGCGGAGGUUGCAGUGAGCUGAGAUUGCUCCACUGCACUCCAGCCUGGCACCUGGCAACAGAGCAAGACUCUGUCUCAAAAAAAAAAAAAAAAAAAAGAAAUGUGCUUGCUUGGUCGCCUAAUUUUAGUACUGAAAACCAUAUGUCCUGAAUUGUAUAAUCUAUGGCUCCCCCCAACUCAACUAUUUCACAUUGAGUCUUAUUCUCUGGUACUUGUUCACUGAAAAUCAUUAGGCUCUUUCCUCCUGUAAUCACAGCAGUGAGUUGGUAGUGAAUCAAUUGCCAGCCCAUGAAUUCCUACCUCCUAAAAGAUCAGAAAAAGCACUGGAGAAAUCUAUGAAUCCUGGUGUGCAAAGAACUCCAGCUGCCUCAGGUUAGUUGACUUCAAUUCAAUGAGACAAAAAUAACAUUGAUCAUCUACUCUACCAACAGACGUUUCUUAUUUCCAAUCUCUCAGUGCCACAGUUGGGCUUAAAUCUGACCAUUACUGUAAUCUAGCAGAGAAACCUGUCCUUAGGCUUUUUGUGAAAUCAUUUGGAAUGAAAGAUUAAUUGGCCACUGAAUAGGCAUCCUUCCCUCACUUCAUUUUUGGAAGCAGAUUUUUUUGUUCUGCAGCAAUAGGCCCAAUAGUAACAAUAAUAAAUAUAUUUUUGCAGCCUUAGGGUAUGAACUAGGACCAAUAUAAGCCAGGAAAAGGAGUGUUGUUCCCUUGCUGUGGAGAAGGCCUGUGACCUUGUCUGGCUCAUAAAACAUAAGAGCAAGUGUGCUGGGGAAAGACUUGCCUCCUGAUAAAACAAGAGCUGCAUGAGAAGAAAGUUACAUUUGCCAACUCUUGCAGCAAUCAAUAACCUACCAACCAAAAAAAGUCCAGGUCCAGACGGGUUUACAACCAAAUUCAACCAGAUGUACAAAGAGUAGCUGGUUCCAUUCCUUCUGAGACGGUAUCAAACAAUACAAAAGGAGAGAAUCCUCCCUAACUCAUUUUAUGAGACCAACAUCAUCCUGAUACCAAAACCUGGCAGAGACUCAACUAAAAAAGAAAACUUCAGGCCAAUAUCCAUGAUAAACAUCAAUGCAAAAAUCAAUAAAAUACUGGCAAACCGAUUGCAACAGCACAUCAAGAAGCUUAUUCAUCACGAUCAAGUAGGCUCCAUCCUGGGUAUGCAAGGCUGGUUCAACGUACGCAAAUCCAUAAACAUAUUAUACCAUCACAUAAACAGAACCAAAAACAAAAACCACAUGAUUAUCUCAACAGAUGCAGAGAGGCCUUUGAUAAAAUUCAGCAGCCCUUCAUGCUAAAAACUCUCAAUAAACUAGGUAUCAACAGAACGUACCAUAAAAUGAUAAAAGCUGUAUACGGCAAACCUACAGCCAAUAUCAUACUCAACAGGCAAAAGCUGGAAGAAUUCCCUUUGAAAUCAGGCAUUAGACAAGGAUGCCCUCUCUCAUCACUCCUGUUCAACAUAAUAUUGGAAGUUCCAGCCAGAGCAGUCAGGUAAGAAAAAGAAAUAAAGGGUAUUCAAUUAGGAAAGGAGGAAGUCAAACUGUCUCUAUUUGCAGACAACGUGAUUGUAUAUCUAGAAGAACCCAUCAUCUCAGCCCAAAAUCUUCUCAAACUAAUAAGCAACUUCAGCAA